UACGUAGGGUGCGAGCGUUAAUCGGAAUUACUGGGCGUAAAGCGCACGUAGGCGGCUUAGUAAGUUGGAUGUGAAAUCCCUCGGCUUAACCAAGGAAGUGCAUCCAAAACUACUGAGCUUGAGUACUAAAGAGGAUCGCGGAAUUCCCGGUGUAGAGGUGAAAUUCGUAGAUAUCGGGAGGAACACCAGUGGCGAAGGCGGCGAUCUGGGUAGAUACUGACGCUGAGGUGCGAAAGCGUGGGGAGCAAACAGG
rnacentral:rRNA from 1 species